rnacentral:rRNA from 1 species
AUUGAACGCUGGCGGCAUGCCUAACACAUGCAAGUCGAGCGGAUGAGUGGAGCUUGCUCCAUGAUUCAGCGGCGGACGGGUGAGUAAUGCCUAGGAAUCUGCCUGGUAGUGGGGGACAACGUUUCGAAAGGAACGCUAAUACCGCAUACGUCCUACGGGAGAAAGCAGGGGACCUUCGGGCCUUGCGCUAUCAGAUGAGCCUAGGUCGGAUUAGCUAGUAGGUGAGGUAAUGGCUCACCUAGGCGACGAUCCGUAACUGGUCUGAGAGGAUGAUCAGUCACACUGGAACUGAGACACGGUCCAGACUCCUACGGGAGGCAGCAGUGGGGAAUAUUGGACAAUGGGCGAAAGCCUGAUCCAGCCAUGCCGCGUGUGUGAAGAAGGUCUUCGGAUUG